rnacentral:rRNA from 1 species
AUUCCAGCUCCAAUAGCGUAUAUUAAUGUUGUUGCAGUUAAAAAGCUCGUAGUUGGAUUUCUAGCGGACGCGACUGGUCUGCCCCGCAAGGGGUUUGUACUGAGUUGUCGUCUGUUAUCCUUGAGAAGAGCGGCCCUGGCAUUCAUUUGUCGGGGUCGGGAUUCUCAUCGUUUACUGUGAAAAAAUUAGAGUGUUCAAAGCAAGCUUAGGCUCUGAAUAUAUUAGCAUGGAAUAAUAAGAUAGGACCUUGGUGGUUUAUUUUGUUGGUUUGCACGCCGAGGUAAUGAUUAAUAGGGAUAGUUAGGGGUAUUCGUAUUCAAUUGUCAGAGGUGAAAUUCUUGGAUUUAUGGAAGACGAACUACUGCGAAAGCAUUUACCAAGGAUGUUUUCAUCA